rnacentral:rRNA from 1 species
CCUACGGGUGGCAGCAGUGAGGAAUAUUGGUCAAUGGACGAGAGUCUGAACCAGCCAAGUAGCGUGAAGGAUGACGGCCCUAUGGGUUGUAAACUUCUUUUAUCUGGGAAUAAAAUGUUCCACGUGUGCCAUAUUGUAUGUAUCCUAUGAAUAAGGAUCGGCUAACUCCGUGCCAGCAGCCGCGGUAAUACGGAGGAUCCGAGCGUUAUCCGGAUUUAUUGGGUUUAAAGGGAGCGUAGGUGGUUUGGUAAGUCAGUUGUGAAAGUUUGCGGCUCAACCGUAAAAUUGCAGUUGAAACUGGCAGUCUUGAGUACAGUAGAGGUGGGCGGAAUUCGUGGUGUAGCGGUGAAAUGCUUAGAUAUCACGAAGAACUCCGAUUGCGAAGGCAGCUCACUGGACUGCAACUGACGCUGAGGCUCGAAAGUGUGGGGAUCAAACAGGAUUAGAUACCCCAGUAGUC